rnacentral:rRNA from 1 species
AUUGAACGCUGGCGGCAUGCCUUACACAUGCAAGUCGAACGGCAGCACGGGGGCAACCCUGGUGGCGAGUGGCGAACGGGUGAGUAAUGCAUCGGAACGUGCCCAGUAGUGGGGGAUAACCAGUCGAAAGACUGGCUAAUACCGCAUACGACCCAAGGGUGAAAGCGGGGGAUCGCAAGACCUCGCGCUAUUGGAGCGGCCGAUGUCUGAUUAGCUAGUUGGCGGGGUAAGAGCCCACCAAGGCGACGAUCAGUAGCUGGUCUGAGAGGAGGACCAGCCACACUGGGACUGAGACACGGCCCAGACUCCUACGGGAGGCAGCAGUGGGGAAUUUUGGACAAUGGGCGAAAGCCUGAUCCAGCCAUGCCGCGUGCGGGAAGAAGGCCUUCGGGUUGUAAACCGCUUUUGGCAGGAACGAGACGGCGAUCUCUAAUACGGGUCGUUAAUGACGGUACCUGCAGAAUAAGCACCGGCUAACUACGUGCCAGCCGCCGCGGUAAAAC